rnacentral:rRNA from 1 species
CAGACUUUUAAUUGAAGAGUUUGAUCAUGGCUCAGAUUGAACGCUGGCGGCAGGCCUAACA